rnacentral:rRNA from 1 species
AUUGAACGCUGGCGGCAGGACUAACACAUGCACGUCGAGCGGAGCGGCGGACGGGUGAGUAAUGCCUAGGAAUCUGCCUGGUAGUGGGGGAUCACGUCCGGAAACGGGCGCUAAUACCGCAUACUAUCAGAUGAGCCUCGGUGGGAUUAGCUAGUUGGUGGGGUAAAGGCCUACAAGGGCGACGAUCCGUAACUGUUCUGAGAGGAUGAUCAGUCACACUGGAACUGAGCAAGUGUCCAGACUCCUACGGUAGGCAGCAGUGGGGACUAUUGGACAAUGGGCGAAAGCCUGUUCCAGCCAUGCCGCGGGUGUGAAGAAGGUCUUCGGAUUGUAAAGCACGUUAAGUUGGGAGGCGUUACCAACAGAAUAAGCACCGGCUAACUUCGUGCCAGCAGCCGCGGUAAUAC